rnacentral:rRNA from 1 species
ACGGGGUGCAGCAGGCGCGAAAACUUUACAAUGCGGGAAACCGUGAUAAGGGGACACCGAGUGCCAGCAACAUUUGUUGGCUGUCCGGGUGUGUAAACUACACCCGUUAGCAAGGGCCGGGCAAGACCGGUGCCAGCCGCCGCGGUAACACCGGCGGCCCGAGUGGUGAUCGUGAUUAUUGGGUCUAAAGGGUCCGUAGCCGGUUUGGUCAGUCCUCCGGGAAAUCUGACGGCUUAACCGUUAGGCUUUCGGGGGAUACUGCCAGGCUUGGAACCGGGAGAGGUAAGAGGUACUACAGGGGGAGGAGUGAAAUCUUGUAAUCCCUGUGGGACCACCUGUGGCGAAGGCGUCUUACCAGAACGGGUUCGACGGUGAGGGACGAAAGCUGGGGGCACGAACCGGAUUAGAUACCCCUGUAGUCC